CUACGGGUGGCUGCAGUGGGGAAUAUUGGACAAUGGGCGAAAGCCUGAUCCAGCCAUGCCGCGUGUGUGAAGAAGGCCUUCGGGUUGUAAAGCACUUUCAGUGGGGAAGAAAGCCUUGGGGCUAAUACCCUCGAGGAAGGACAUCACCCACAGAAGAAGCACCGGCUAACUCCGUGCCAGCAGCCGCGGUAAUACGGAGGGUGCGAGCGUUAAUCGGAAUUACUGGGCGUAAAGCGCGCGUAGGCGGUCUGAUAAGCCGGUUGUGAAAGCCCCGGGCUCAACCUGGGAACGGCAUCCGGAACUGUCAGGCUAGAGUGCAGGAGAGGAAGGUAGAAUUCCCGGUGUAGCGGUGAAAUGCGUAGAGAUCGGGAGGAAUACCAGUUGCGAAGGCGGCCUUCUGGACUGACACUGACGCUGAGGUGCGAAAGCGUGGGUAGCAAACAGGAUUAGAUACCCUGGUAGUC
rnacentral:rRNA from 1 species